GGGUAACGGGGUGUUAGGGCACGACACCGGAGAGGGAGCCUGAGAAACGGCUACCACAUCCAAGGAUGGCAGCAGGCGCGCAAAUUACCCAAUCCCGACACGGGGAGGUAGUGACAAUAAAUAACAAUACAGGGUUCUUUCGGAUUUCGUAAUUGGAAUGAGUACAAUUUAAAUCUCUUAACGAGGAACAAUUGGAGGGCAAGUCUGGUGCCAGCAGCCGCGGUAAUUCCAGCUCCAAUAGCGUAUAUUAAAGUUGCUGCAGUUAAAAAGCUCGUAGUUGAAUUUCGGGACCAUCAUGUCGGUCGUGCCUCGGUACGUACUGGCAUUGUUGGUUUCUCCCUUCUGACGAACCAUGAUGUCAUUUAUUUGGUGUUGUGGGGAAUCAGGACUGUUACUUUGAAAAAAUUAGAGUGUUUAAAGCAGGCUCACGCUUGAAUACAUUAGCAUGGAAUAAUGAAAUAGGACGUUUGAUUCUAUUUUGUUGGUUUCUAGGAUCGACGUAAUGAUUAAUAGGGAUAGUUGGGGGCAUUAGUAUUCAAUUGUCAGAGGUGAAAUUCUUGGAUUUAUUGAAGACUAACUACUGCGAAAGCAUUUGCCAAGGAUGUUUUCAUUAAUCAAGAACGAAAGUUAGGGGAUCGAAGACGAUCAGAUACC
rnacentral:rRNA from 1 species